UCCGUGUUACCACGGCAGUCUCCUUAGAGUUCCCAACUUAAUGAAGGCAACUAAGGACAAGGGUUGCGCUCGUUGCGGGACUUAACCCAACAUGUCACCACACGAGCUGACGACAGCCAUGCAGCACCGGUCAUACUGUUGUAUUGCUACAAAAGCCGUAUCUCUACGGUUGUCAGUAUGAUGUCAAACCCAGGUAAGGUUUUUCGCGUUGCUUCGAAUUAAACCACAUGAUCCACCGCUUGUGCGGGCCCCCGUCAAUUCCUUUGAGUUUUAAUCUUGCGACCGUACUUCCCAGGCGGGGUACUUAGCGCGUUAGCUACGGUUCGGCGGGGGUCAAGACCCACCAAACCUAGUACCCAUCGUUUACAGCGUGGACUAC
rnacentral:misc_RNA from 1 species